UGCAGUGUUUACAAAUAUAUCGAGUUUAUAUUUUCUCCGGUUUUAAACAACGCAAGCCAGAACAUUUUUGACCGAAUUUGAAUACCUGACAGGCUUUUCGUCAAUGGAAACAUAAUUUUUUUUUAAAUAACUGCAAUUUCAAGUAACUUGCGGAUGUUUGGGUGCGUAUGUAAAAAACUCUAACUACAGGGAAUAUAAAUCGCUUCAAAUACGCUUU